UACGUAGGGGGCAAGCGUUGUCCGGGAUUAUUGGGCGUAAAGCGCGCGCAGGCGGUUCCUUAAGUCUGAUGUGAAAGCCCACGACUCAACAGUGGAGGGUCAUUGGAAACUGGGGAACUUGAGGACAGAAGAGGAGAGUGGAAUUCCACGUGUAGCGGCGAAAUGCGUAGAUAUGUGGAGGAACACCAGUGGCGAAGGCGACUCUCUGGUCUGUUUCUGACGCUGAGGUGCGAAAGCGUGGGUAGCAAACAGG
rnacentral:misc_RNA from 1 species